AUACGGAGGAUCCGAGCGUUAUCCGGAUUUAUUGGGUUUAAAGGGUGCGCAGGCGGGAGAUUAAGUCGGCGGUGAAAUUUUUCAGCUCAACUGUAAAAGUGCCUUCGAAACUGGUUUCCUUGAGUGGAGAUGAAGGAGGCGGAAUUUGUGGUGUAGCGGUGAAAUGCAUAGAUAUCACGAGGAACUCCGAUUGCGCAGGCAGCUUACUAAACUACUACUGACGCUCAGGCACGAAGGCGUGGGGAUCAAGCAGGAUUAGAUACCCUGGUAGUCCACGCAGUAAACGAUGAUUACUAGCUGUUUGCGAUACAAUGUAAGCGGCUGAGCGAAAGCGUUAAGUAAUCCGCCUGGGGAGUACGUUCGCAAGAAUGAAACUCAAAUGAAUUGACGGGG
rnacentral:rRNA from 1 species